GAGCCAGUCACGGACUUGCCACUCUCCCCAUAUCUAUUAUAAAUUUGGUCUGGCCACAGAGAAGGAUUGUUCCUACUCAGAAUCAUGUGAUAUAUCAAUAUCAUAGAGGCAAAGAAUUCAGCCAACCAUUACUUCACUCACAUUUAUUGUAAGUUCACUUCUCAUUCUCUUUUUCAUUCUUCUACUUCCAUUUUAUUAGUAAAGGUGUCAAAUCGUGUUUCUUAUGAAUUACAAUGUUACAAGCAAUAGCGCACUGAGAGAGAGUAUCACUUGCAACUUUAACACCAAGUGAGUUAAGUCAUAUAGAAAAAAAUUGUUCAAGUUCGGUCACAUAUAUAGCCUGAACUUCAUGCAAAAUGACUAAACUUCAGCUAUCUACGGUCUGAACAUUAUCCAAAAUGGAUGGAAGUUGUUUGCUUCUAAAUUCUCUCACAUUAGGCUUUGAUAAACUAAAUUUAAAAAGCAGAUAAACUUGCAAAAAAUUUAGGCUUCCGUUUAUGACUUAAAUGGGGAUGUAUAGGGUGUUAUUUUUAUCCUUGUAUAUAUAUAUAUAUAUAUAUAUAUAUAUAUACACACUAUGGAGGCCACUCUCACAUGCCAGCCUAAUGGUAAGACUACGUUCUUGGGCUUUUAGUUAAAACAGGAAGAGAAAAUUUCAAAAUUAAUAAGGUAACUAUAGUUUCAAUAAUUGCGCUUCAUAGCUAUAGUUUUGUUUGCUAUGGAGGCUUUGGUUUGUAUAUUUCUGUCCGUUUGUAUAUUUCACUUGCAAGUAUACAAAUAUCACAAGUAUAUACAAAUUUUGUAUAUACAUUCAGGAAUUUCAAAACGAUGUUGUACAUUUCUCUUGCUAGUAAACAAAUAAAAAGUAAGUAUAUACUCUCUCCAUCCCAUUUUAUGUAGCACCAUUUUCUUUUUUAUCAGUCCCAAAAAGAAUAUCACAUUUUCUUAUAUGAUAAAUAUUUAAAAGUACAAUUCCUCUUUUAUCCUUGUUGGUUCCAUUUAAUUUUAAAGAUAAUAACUCUAAUACAUUUAUGAGGAGAGAGAAAAGUGAGUUAUUUGGUAAACAUUUCAAAGUCUUAAUUAUUUCUUAAACUUCGUGCGCGUCAAAUGUUGUCAUAUAAAAUGGGACGGAGGGAGUACAAAUUGUGGAUUUUUACAAUCAGGAAUCGAAUUAUACUAAUUUUGGAUUUAGACAAAUCAAGAAUCAGACGAAUAACAAGAAUUGGGGAAACUGUUGUAAGUCCCGAAUUAUACUGUUUUUAAAUUGUAGUUAUAGUACCUAAUAUAGACUAAUUGUUUGUUAUUUUGCAUAAUUUUCCCAAAUUGAAAUUUUCAAAUAAGCCAGUUAGAUUGAAUUUAAGUGGAUUAAAAUGGAUUACCCCAACUAAUGAAUACUUUUGUCAUUUAACUCAUUCAAAAGUUAUUUGGACAGAGAUGGAUUGGGCCAACAACUAGCUGGUCAUAACUCAACUCAUCCAACUCUAACCCAAAAAAAGAAAAAACAGUUAUUUGGACAGAGAUGGAUUGGGCCAACAACUAGCUGGUCAUAACUCAACUCUAACCCAAAAAAGAAAAAACUACUCUUUGUUUGUUUGCUAAUAAUUUGUUGAAACUAACAAAGUUUUUUAUUCUUUAUGUGACUAUAAACCAUACUCACAAAAAGAGAUCUUCUCAUGGAUCAAUUUGAAUUAUAUAUAUUGUAAAAAUAAACCCCAAUUUUAGACUAGUUGAAUUAACGAGUGGGAGCUAAUUUAUUUAUUAAAUUGGACAAAUCAUAUUACCAGCCAAAAUAGAGGGAAGAAUAGAAUGGGAUUAAGCUGGCAUGUCACGUGUAUGAAAAUAAUUGGUGGGAAAAUCUCUUUUUGUGUGUGUACGUUAUAUUAGGAUUUUGAUUUGUUGGUCUUGAACGUUCACGUUUCGUGAUAGAGGAGGGAAAUUAUAAAAGCAUCACUUGUAAUAUAUGAUUCACAACCAACCUGUGCGCAUUCCACAUUAUACUUGUAACAAAAAUAAAAUCAGUAUUUAUUUCUUCCAGAAUCUCCUAAAUAACUAUGCAUGUGAUGAUGAAUGAAAUGAAUUUUCACUUCACAUCGGUUAUAAUUUAAGCAAUGUUACUUCCUUUAAGCUAGCUAGCUGCCCCUAAUCAAUAACUAGCAUACGAUUUAAUUGUUCAUUAUGUGUAUCCAAAAAGAAUAUAAAGGGAAAAAGUCAGAAAUGUGGAUUUUCCAUUUGUAUGUUAGCUAGCAUACCAAUCAACAGACUUCAGAUCAUUAUGAUAUAUAACUAUACAUAUUUUUGCAGAAAUCAUUUUUAUCUUUUUCUUCUUCUUGUAGUAGCUAGAGAUAACAAAUGUAUGCGAAAAUGGAGAAAGACAAAUUAUUUAUCUUUCUUUUUUCUCUUUGCAGAUGAAUAAAUAUUCAAUUGAAAUCCUGUAAAUUAGUUGUGUGUACAUAUAUCAUUCUUGUUUCACUCAAGUGCUCAUUGAUCCUAGUGUUUCUGUAUAUCACAAAAUUAUAGUCUACUUCUUUUACUAAAAACAACAGAGUACUAAAUAUGAUUUUAUUUUUUUUACUAUAUAUACCACUCUAUUCAUAUACAGUAUUAAAAGUUAUGUGAUAUAACACUUCUCUAUGGUCUUGAAUUUUUUUUUCUCAUUUUAUGGCAUUUUUCUCUCCAUUUCACUCUCUCUAUAUAUAUAUAUAAAAAAAAAAAAAACCUACUCUAUUACUAAUAAUCAUUAAUCUCUUUAACUAAUCACACAUUUACAUCUUCAUAACUUCUACUCUUACUAAUCUUCAUUACUUGUAUGUCUUUUCAAGUCCAUAUAUAACUCCCAAAUAAUAUGUUACUUGUAAAUUUUGACAUCUAUCAUAAUUUUCUGAUUGUGAAUUUUUAUCUGGUCACAGGUGAAAAAUGGCAAAUGCAUAUUAAACAUUGCACCUUUAUGGUUUUAUGGAGUAUUAUGAUUAAGCAAGCAAAUGAAUUUAAUUUGUUUCCAAGUUGAAAUGAAGCAUUGAUACAAUUACAUAACUGAUUGUAAAGUUAGGUAUAUAAGAAGUUGAGAGGGUGCAAAAUGUUUGUGUAUGAUAUAGUAAUAAAAUAAUUUUUUCUAUAUAUGUUGUUUGGUCCUUGGUGUAUUCAUGGUUUUGGUUCGUUAUUAUUUGUCUUUCUUUUUCAAAUUCACAUAUGAUUAUUUUCUUUUAUGGAUAUUACUAUAUUCGAG
rnacentral:lncRNA from 1 species